GUUUUAUUGCACACAGACCUGCUGAGUGCCCGACCGAUCCUUUAAUCCCCACUGCUCUUUGCUAUAAAUCAUGAUUAAGCCAGAACCAGGCACGAGAAACAAAGCAGUUCUUGGGCCUUUAGCAGCAGUGCAGGACUCCCUCGCCACCUCCCUUGGCUUUAGGCACCGCUUUGCUUUGGACAUGGGACAGGACCCUGCUUACUGAAGGCUCCGUGCUUUGCAUCUCGUGUUUCUGCAGCGCCUUUCGGCCGAUGAGUGCGAGCACGCUUUGCGAAAAUGGAUGAGCCGAGCUGCGGUCUUUCAGCAGUGAGUCAGAACAGCAUCAGUUCUAUCAUCCCCACUUCAGAGCCGAGGGGAAGCAGCAGUUGUUUGCUCGGUGUCACGCUGCGAGGCAGCGGCACAGCCCGAAGCGCAGCCCGCAGAGAGUCUCGCCGACGUGUCCCCAUCCCAAACCACUAAGUGACCCCCGCAGGAAUAGCUGCAAACAGGAUCCGGGUGCCCCUCUGCUGGCAGCCCCUGCAGCCCAACAUCCUGACUCCCAAUCCCUUUCCUACCCCACGCUCCCACCCACAGCUGGAAAUAGUCGGGCAGCCCCGAGCAGCGGCUCCAACCACCGCAGCUCCUCCUCUCCCUGCAGAACGUGUCACCAGGAGAACAUCGUGCUGGCCUGCAAGCCGCUUGCUGUUUCCUUUCUUUUGCUCAUUGCCUCAGCUCUGCCCACUCCCAAAGCAGGGCUGCUUUUGGCUCUUUCAUCCUUUAACCCGCAGCCCCGGCAGCACAAGGGGGGCUCAGGAAGGCGGUGCUGUGGGGCUGAUCCAGUUGGUGCAGUACUGGAGCCGAGCAGUGCUCUCCGCGGUGGGAAGCAAAAUGACAGACCGCUGCCUCCUUGCAGGCUGCAAUUUCAUCCUCCCGUUGCGAUAUUCACUGCAGUUAAUGAGCACCCUGCCUGCUCUGCGCAGGCUGCUGUGGCUGGGGAGCGUGUCAGCCCAGGGAGAAUGGAGCUUUCUAGGAUUCAGGGGAAGGAGCCUCUAGGGCCGGGGAUUGGCUGGGAGCUGGGCCAGACGUGACCCAGAGAAAUGGAGCUCGCUGCAGAGCUCUCCCAGUCCCUCGUGGCCGAUGCGCUGCGCUGGGCUGGGGCUGAUUCAUCUCCAAACUCAGCUUUGAAGUGCUGACACCGGUUGUGC
rnacentral:lncRNA from 1 species